GUGGGUAGGGGAGAAAUUCCAAUCGAACCCGGAGAUAGCUGGUUCUCCCCGAAAUAGCUUUAGGGCUAGCCCGCGACGAGGCUGGCGGAGGUAGAGCACUGAACUGCCUAGGGGGCGUCACAGCCUACCGAAGCAAAUCAAACUCCGAAUGCCGCACAGCCGUUGACGCGGAGUCAGACCGUACGAGAUAAGUUGGACGGUCGAGAGGGAAAAAGCCCAGACCGCCGGCCAAGGCCCCCAAGUGCGCGUUAAGUGGAAAAGGAUGUGGGGCCUCGAGGACAGCUAGGAUGUUGGCUCAGAAGCAGCCACGCAUUCAAAGAGUGCGUAACAGCUCACUAGUCGAGAGGCCCCGCGCCGAAAAUGUCCGGGGCUCAAACGCGCCGCCGAAGCCGCGGAACCGUGCUUCGCACGGUUGGUAGGGGAGCAUCCCCGGUGCGGCGAAGCGCCACCGAAAGGGGGCGUGGAGCGCCGGGGAGGGAGAAUGCCGGAAUGAGUAGCGAGAGCAAGGUGGGAAUCCUUGCGGCCGAAUAUCCAAGGUUUCCAGGGUGAAGCUGAUCUGCCCUGGGUAAGUCGGGGCCUAAGGCGAGGGCGAAGGCCGUAGCCGAUGGACAACGGGUGGAGAUUCCCGUACCCCGCGUGGACAGAACUGUGGGGACGCGGGCGGAAGUGCGAGGCCGGGAUGGGAACUCCCGGCGCAAGCGGGGACCCCGGGCGGCAGGAAAAUCCGCCGCCCGAAGGGGGAGCCGCGACGCGGACCGAACCAUAGGGUAGGGAACCGCGCAGGACCGCCCGCCGAGAAAAGCCGCUAUGGCUCCACGCGGGCCCGUACCGCAAACCGACACAGGUGGAUGGGGAGAGAAUCCCGAGGCCGGCGGGGGAAGCGUUGUCAAGGAACUCGGCAAAAUGGCCCCGUAACUUCGGGAGAAGGGGCGCCCGCGAAGGCGGGCCGCAGAGAAAAGGUCCAAGCAACUGUUUAGCAAAAACACAGGUCUAUGCGAAGCCGCAAGGCGAGGUAUAUGGGCUGACGCCUGCCCGGUGCCGGAAGGUUAAGGGGAGGGCUUAGCGCCUCGGCGCGAGGGUCCGAUCCGAAGCCCCGGUAAACGGCGGCCGUAACUAUAACGGUCCUAAGGUAGCGAAAUUCCUUGUCGGGUAAGUUCCGACCCGCACGAAAGGCGCAAUGAUUUGGACGCUGUCUCGACAACGCACCCGGUGAAAUUGAAGUGCCAGUGAAGAUGCUGGCUACCCGCGCCAGGACGGAAAGACCCCAUGGAGCUUUACUCCAGUUUGGCGCUGGGGUCCGGUGCGGCACGUACAGGAUAGGUGGGAGGCUUUGAACCCGCGGCGCCAGCCGCGGGGGAGCCGCCGUUGGGAUACCACCCCUGCCGUACCAGGCCCCUAACCGUCCGCCGUGAAGCCGGCGGCGGGACAC
rnacentral:rRNA from 1 species